rnacentral:rRNA from 1 species
ACUCCUGCGGGAGGCAGCAGUGGGGAAUAUUGGACAAUGGGCGCAAGCCUGAUCCAGCCAUGCCGCGUGAGUGAUGAAGGCCCUAGGGUUGUAAAGCUCUUUCACCGGUGAAGAUAAUGACGGUAACCGGAGAAGAAGCCCCGGCUAACUUCGUGCCAGCAGCCGCGGUAAUACGAAGGGGGCUAGCGUUGUUCGGAUUUACUGGGCGUAAAGCGCACGUAGGCGGACUAUCAAGUCAGGGGUGAAAUCCCGGGGCUCAACCCCGGAACUGCCUUUGAUACUGGUAGUCUUGAGUUCGAGAGAGGUGAGUGGAAUUCCGAGUGUAGAGGUGAAAUUCGUAGAUAUUCGGAGGAACACCAGUGGCGAAGGCGGCUCACUGGCUCGAUACUGACGCUGAGGUGCGAAAGCGUGGGGAGCAAACAGGAUUAGAAACCCCAGUAGUCCCAU